CCCAGACUCCUACGGGAGGCAGCAGUGGGGGAUAUUGCACAAUGGGGGGAACCCCGAUGCAGCGACGCCGCGUGGGUGAAGGAGCACCUCGGUGCGUAAAGCCCUAUCGGCAGGGAAGAAACAGACGGUACCUGACUAAGAAGCCCCGGCUAACUACGUGCCAGCAGCCGCGGUAAUACGUAGGGGGCAAGCGUUAUCCGGAUUUACUGGGUGUAAAGGGCGCGUAGGCGGGAUGGCAAGUCAGAUGUGAAAUCCAGGGGCUCAACCCCUGAACUGCAUUUGAAACUGUCGUUCUUGAGUACUGGAGAGGUUGACGGAAUUCCUAGUGUAGCGGUGAAAUGCGUAGAUAUUAGGAGGAACACCAGUGGCGAAGGCGGUCAACUGGACAGCAACUGACGCUGAGGCGCGAAAGCGUGGGGAGCAAACAGGAUUAGAUACCCCCGUAAA
rnacentral:rRNA from 1 species